GCGGUCGUCGGUCAAGGUGAGACAGACCAGGCCGCGCCCGUAUUUGGCCAUGAAGUUGAUCGCGUCCGGCGUGACGUGCUCGGCCGCCAUCACCA
rnacentral:antisense_RNA from 1 species